rnacentral:tRNA from 1 species
CUGGGGUUGAGGCUCAGUGGUAGAGCACUUGCCUACUGUGUGUGAGGCGCCGAGUUCGAUCCUCAGCACUGCAUA